GAGCCCGCCAUCCAAGCCGACCCUCCCUGGGUUGCUUUCAUCAACAUGAGCUCCCCUACCCACCAAAUAUUUAUUUAUAUUGUAACCCUACCCGGGUCACAACUACUUAAUACAGAUGCUUCACCUGAUCUGGUCCAAUUGCCAAAUCAGUGGAUCCACCUGAUCCAAAUUUCAUUUUAUUUAUGAAAAAUAUUUAUUUUAAAAUCUUAUGCAAAAUUUUGGAAAUGACCCAUAGCCCGGAAAACAUUUAUCAAGACAUGGUCAAGGAGAUGACGACUUGCCGGAUAGUGCUUCGACCAACUCGGAACCACCGGGCGUGGCUCCUACGGAUCCGAGAUCGGCUCCUAAUAAUUAUUUCACAACCAUGUUUAUAUUUCCUAAUUUAAAAUCUAAAGAUCCAGCAACACGGCCAUGUUGGGCAAGCCAUAAUUAAUUAACUAGGUUGUGAUACGUCCUAGUGUUUAAUUGAGAGAUAAAAUGCAUCAAACCAUCCAAAUCAGAGUAGCAUGCACGUAUGCCAUCCAGUCUAGAGAGUAAAAAAAUGAUAAGUAAAAAGGAAACAGUAGCCUGCACUACUAGUACUUUACUCGUUGAACCCAGCUCAUUCCUCUCCUCGUCUUCUCUGCUAUCCCAAGAACAGAACCAGCCACCCACCUCUCUCUCUCUCCCCAAGAACAGAGCAUGGCCGCCGCCGCCUCGAUCUGCCCUGUCCGGGCAUCUCCGGCGACACGGUGGACACCUACAGAUUCUCCUCGUCUCCCUCUACCAUUUCCCCCUAUUUAUUUUAUCCGCCGCCGCCAAAAACGUCGCCACCACUCAAUCCUAGCGCCGCCUGAUUCAGGUCCGGUGGGCUUGCCACCGGCUGCAGCGGCAACGACGUCUCCAUGCCUACAUCCUCCCCCAACGCAGCCACACGCACGAGGCGUGCAGCCACGGGCGUCGGGCGUGUGCGGCUUCACCGGCGCUGCUCGGUCGCAUGGCUCUACUGCUAACGGUGUGGACUAGCCACAUCCUACUGCUACUACUGCAAGAUAAAUAGAUCAAGGUGAAUAGAUGCUCAUGGACUGAUUCAAACUGAGGUGAAGAUAGACAAGAAGUCAAGCAAGAAGGGCUAACACAACAAGGUACUCUAUUAGUACCUGAUGGCGCAUGCGACCCAAAGGGCUUCACCGCAGUGAAGGACAGCAGUGUGGCAGAAGGUGAAAAGGCAAGUGGUGGUGGUACUCCAGUGUAUGUGUGUGUGUGAGGUGGAAUGGACCACAGUGAAAGGAAUGGCUCCUAUUUAUAGCGGGGUUAGUAGCUAUGUCGGUUUGGAGAGGCAUUACAUCUGCAUGCAUGCGUGGUUAGGCUUGCAUGCAUGCCUCCACUUGUGUCUCUUGUAGGUUGUACUAGGGACAAGUGUAAUUUGCUUGACUGGCCAUUAGUUGGCAUUUACUUUAUGUGGAAAAAAAAUGAGACCAAGAUCUGAUUAUAAAUUUGUAUAAUACAUGGAGGUUCGGAAAAUAUUUUGUUGUGCAUGGUCAAAUGCUAUUUGCUAUAAUAAAAGUUAAAUGUCA